UGGAGGGCAAGUCUGGUGCCAGCGGCCGCGGUAAUUCCAGCUCCAAUAGCGUAUAUUAAAGUUGUUGCAGUUAAAAAGCUCGUAGUUGAAUUUCGGGAUUUGUCAGUUGGUCGGGCUUAACUGUCCGUAUUGACUCGAUGGAUUCUUACCUUCUGAAUAACCAGCAUGCUACUAAUUUAGUGCGUUGGGGAAGCAGAUCUAUUACCUUGAAAAAAUUAGAGUGCUUAAAGCGAGCUAGUGCUUGAAUAGAUUAGCAUGGAAUAAUAAAAUAGGACGGCAUGGUUCUAUUUUGUUGGUUUCUAGGAUCACCGUAAUGAUUAAUAGGGAUAGUUGGGGGCAUUAGUAUUCAAUUGUCAGAGGUGAAAUUCUUGGAUUUAUUGAAGACUAACUUCUGCGAAAGCAUUUGCCAAGGAUGUUUUCAUUAAUCAAGAACGAAAGUUAGGGGAUCGAAGACGAUCAGAUACCGUCGUAGUCUUAACCAUAGACCAUGCCGACUAGGAAUCGGACGAUGUUAAUUUUAUAAUGACUCGUUCGGCACCUUACGGGAAAC
rnacentral:rRNA from 1 species